CAUGCCGCGGUGAUACGUUCCCGGGUCUUGUACACACCGCCCGUCACACCAUGGGAGUGGGUUUUACCAGAAGUGGCUAGUCUAACCGCAAGGAGGACGGUCACCACGGUAGGAUUCAUGACUGGGGUGAAGUCGUAACAAGGUAGCCGUAUCGGAAGGUGCGGCUGGAUCACCUCCUUUCCAGAGCUAUCUCGCGAAGUUGAGCGCUCACGCUUAUCGGCUGUAAAUUUAAAGACAGACUCAGGGGUCUGUAGCUCAGUCGGUUAGAGCACCGUCUUGAUAAGGCGGGGGUCGUUGGUUCGAAUCCAACCAGACCCACCAUUGUCUGGCGGUAGGUACCUGAGGUCAUCUGUACUCAAUGGGGGCAUAGCUCAGCUGGGAGAGCACCUGCUUUGCAAGCAGGGU
rnacentral:misc_RNA from 1 species